rnacentral:misc_RNA from 1 species
AAGUCGUAACAAGGUAACCGUAGGUGAACCUGCGGUUGGAUCAUUACCGAAAAAAUUAAAUCAAUCUAUGGGCAGGAGGAGUGUCAUACACUUUUGCCUGUGGAUCGGUUAAAUUAAUUUUUUGUGCACUUAUGAUGUUUUUUGGGUCGCUCCCUCGGGGGAGGCCCAAAGGUUAAAACAAAACACUAUAUCAAUUUGACUUAUAUCUCUAUGUAAAUAGAAACAACUUUUGACAACGGAUCUCUUGGCUCUC